AUCGCUUCUCGGCCUUUUGGCUAAGAUCAAGUGUAGCAUCUGUUCUUAUCAGUUUAAUAUCUGAUACGUCCCCUUUCUGGGGACCGUAUAUUAAAUUGAUUUUUGGAACAGGGAGAUGGGAUAGGGUAAAAAAAAUACAAUAAUACCGCUCUGUCCUCCAUUAAAGACAUCUUUAUCAAGCA